rnacentral:lncRNA from 1 species
GUGUUCAUCUCUCUGGAAAUGCCCACGCCAGCCCAGACACAGCCUCAGAGUCCUUUCCAACACAACCCUCCAGGCAGCAGUUACCAACCAUCAGCCUUCAGCUGAAGCUUCAAGUCUUUGCCAUCCUUGUAAUGAGAGCCUUAGGUCUUGCCCCAAGCAUUCUGGAUUCUCCAACACUCAGAAUUGUAAUAUUGUGCUUUAAUUCAAAUUUUUAAAAAUAUAUAGUCUACUAAUUCAGGACAAGGGGUAAGCAAACUUUUUCUGAAAAGGGCUAGAUAAUAAGUAUUUUAGGUUUUGCCAGUCAUAUGGUCUCUGUUGAAGCUACUCAACUCUGCCACUGUAGUUUGAAAGCAGCUAUGGGUAAUACGUUAUUGAACGGGAGUGACUGAGUUCCAAUAAAGUUUUAUUAUUUAUUUAUUUAUUUUGAGACGGGGUCUUGCUCUGUUGCCCAUGCUGGAGUGCAAUGGCACAAUCUCAGCUCACUGCAACCUCUGCCUACUGAGUUCAAGCAAUUCUCCUGCCUCAGCCUCCCAAGUAGCUGCGAGUACAGGUGCACACCACCAUGCCCUGCUAAUUUUUUGUAUUUUUAGUAGAGAUGGAAUUUCACCAUGUUGGCCAGGCUGGUCUCGAACUCCUGACUUCGUGAUCCGCCCACCUUGGCCUCCCAAAGUACUGGGAUUACAGGCAUGAGCCACUGUUCCCAGCCAAUAAAACUUUAUUUACAAGAACAGCUGGUGGGCCAGAUUUGGCCCAAGGGUCAUAGCUUAUUAUCCCUUGAGCCAGUCUGCUGCCUGAGGUUGAUUCAACAUUCCCAGCUCCAGUCAACAACAAAAAUUCUAAGUCUCCCGCCCACUGCUGCUGUGGUGUGUCAUGCCAAGAAAAUGGGCUACUCAGGUCAGACCAAUGACUACAGAACCACAGGGCUCAGAACAGGAAAGAGCUGCUUUCUGCAGAGCUGAUUCCUGGAAAGCCACCAGCACUCCACCUCCUGCCCAGAAAUGUGAUUCAGUCAAUAGCUGAUGAUGAAAAGCAACCUGCAAACAACAUUAGGGAGAAGGAGAAAAAUAAUUCAGAGGUGAUGAUACUGCCUCCCAUGAACAGGGAAGCAAGUUCAUCAGUAGCAAAAGUCAGUGAGGCAAAAAAAAAAAAAAA